rnacentral:lncRNA from 10 species
GACAGGAAAGGGGUUCUAUCCAUGAUCUUACAAUUCCUAAACAGCAACAGCAUCAUGGACGUAUUUGUUCCUGGCGUCAUAAGCCUGCAUACGGUAGGCAUUCAGUUAAUAGGUACUGAUUGGUCUAACAGAGGAAGCUGGGCUUGAUUAUAAAAUAAACUAGGCUAUGAAAUCAUGCCUCCUAAAAGCUCAUUAAAGGCAGCAACACGGGAUGGGGACUGUAAGGAAGUUGUCUCCCACCUGCCUCCCUCCUCAGACACACAUCAUUCCGCAGAUGUGAAAACGACCCAGACUCUGCCCGCAUGUGGCCUCCCGGACCGGGCAGUAGGGCCUUGCCCCUACCCUCAUGAAGACUGUCGGCUGUGUUACAGAACUGCUGCUCUGUCUCUGACUCCCCUCACUCCCAUGCUCUGUUGGAAACUCAAGUUGUGAAACCACAAAACACAGAAAGGAAGUGGUCAACUAUUGCACAUACUCAAGCUAUGUAGUCUCAGUUUAUUCCAUUCUUGCAGGAUCAUUGUAGGAAGGCAUAAGAGUCCUGCUUACUGGUGAGCCACUGAACACAAACUCCCUUCUCACCUCUGCCUUGGAUCCCGCCAUGCCUGAGGUCUAGGGCUAGAAGCGUUGUUUCAUCCACAUUAAUUCCGGUCUUGGGCAACGUGGCUAUUUUCUGACCUGUCUGUCUUCCCACCCUAGUGGUGAAUUCUCUUUCUGGGAUCUCAACUCCUUCUCCUGUCACCCAGCUUUUUCCGAGCAACCCCAGUCCAUCUGGCAUAUCAUUAGAAUGUUAAACCUAAAACGGUAAGCCAUUCUGUGAAUACCUUUAAGUAACAGGAUAUUAAAAUGAGACUUUUCCUGUUUUCUCAGUGCUAGCUGACAUCUUUGAGCUGAGAAAAAAAAAUAUUGUUAAAAAUGCUCAUCUAUUCUCAGGAGAUGUCAUCUGCUAAGGAGUGACCAAAAAAAUGGUCCAAUAACCCUGAAACCAUCGCUCAAAUCUUAGCUACGCAAGGGGAGACUUGUAAAUUAAUGAGGACGGCAAGGAUUUCAUGAGACAGAGCUUUCAGGCUGCUAAAAUGCUUCCUCCUCCCUUCUCAUGUGUUUUCCCCUCAUCUUACGCAAAUAAGAGGGGGCCUUCAGAGAAUUACUUGGAGAGCUGACCUAGGACCCCUAGGCUUUGGGGAACAUAGAAUGUAUUAGUGUCUAUUGCUGCUGAAACAAAUUAGCACACAUUUAACAGCUUAAAAAUAGCAAAAUUACUACCUCACAGUUCUGUAGGUUAGAAGUCCAGUGGGCGCGGCUGGUGUGUGGGCUUCAAGCCUCACAGGGCUGAAAUCAAGGUGUUGGCCAGGCUGUACUCCCUCCUAGAGGCUCUAAUGAAGCAUCUGUUUCCAGGCCUCUGCGCCUUGUUGGCGGAAUUCAGUUCAAUUUGCCUGAUGGACUGAGGUCCCUGCUUCCCUGCGGGCUGUCGGCGGGAACUGCCACUGGCUCCUUGCAGCCUCUCUCUGAUUCUUGCACAAGGGCACCUACAUCUCAGAGCCAGCGAGAGUGUGAGUGUGUGGAAUCCUUCUCACGAGGCCUCAUCUCUCUGACUUUCGUCGGGAAAUGUUCUCUGCUUUUAAAGGAUCAUGUAAUUAUUUUGAGCCUACCCGAUAAUCCAGGAUAAUCCCCUCAUCUAAAAAUCUGUUACCUUAACCACAUCUGCAAAGUCCCUGUUGCCGUGUAA